GGUCCCGUCGUGCACAGUUGGUAGAGCAUGGUGUUUGCAACACCAGGGUUGUGGGUUCGAUUCCCACGGGGGACCA
rnacentral:tRNA from 1 species